GCCUUCGAGGUGUAAUGGCCAGAAUACUAGGUUAGUAUUCGAGAGGUCCGUGGUUCGAGUCCCGGCGAUGGCA
rnacentral:tRNA from 1 species